rnacentral:rRNA from 1 species
UACGGAGGGUGCAAGCGUUAUCCGGAUUCACUGGGUUUAAAGGGUGCGUAGGUGGGUAGGUAAGUCAGUGGUGAAAUCUUCAAGCUUAACUUGGAAACUGCCAUUGAUACUAUUUAUCUUGAAUACUUUGGAGGUAAGCGGAAUAUGUCAUGUAGCGGUGAAAUGCUUAGAUAUGACAUAGAACACCAAUUGCGAAGGCAGCUUACUACGCAAUAAUUGACACUGAGGCACGAAAGCGUGGGGAUCAAACAGG